CAAUAUUAGACACUCUGGGGCAGGUAACAGACAAUAUUAGACACUCUGGGACAGGUAACAGGCAAUAUUAGACACUCUGGGACAGGUAACAGACAAUAUUGGACACUCUGGGACAGGUAACAGACAACAUGACUCUCCAGACCCAAGAAGGAAAGCAGUGCAGUGAAGUGCUGGUGCAGGAAAUAAACAGAAGGCAAGGAGAGAAGAGAUAACUGGAGAGAGAGAGGGAGAUAACUGGAGAGAGAGAGUGAGAUGACUGGAGAGAGAGAGGGAGAUAACUGGAGAGAGAGAGUGAGAUGACUGGAGAGAGGGAGAUGACUGGAGAGAGAGAGGGAGAUGACUGGAGAGAGAGAGAGAGAUGACUGGAGAGAGAGAGGGAGAUAACUGGAGAGAGAGAGGGAGAUGACUGGAGAGAGAGAGGGAGAUGACUGGAGAGAGAGAGGGAGAUGACUGGAGAGAGAGAGGGAGAUAACUGGAGAGAGAGAGGGAGAUAACUGGAGAGAGAGAGGGAGAUGACUGGAGAGAGAGAGG
ensembl:lncRNA